rnacentral:rRNA from 1 species
AAUUCUGGCUCAGGAUGAACGCUAGCUACAGGCCUAACACAUGCAAGUCGAGGGGCAGCAGAUCGAAAGCUUGCUUUGAUGCUGGCGACCGGCGAAUGGGUGAGUCACGCGUGUCCAACCUGCCCUGUGCCCGGGGAUAGCCCUUGGAAAUGAGGAUUAACACCCGAUACGUGGCGCUUCCGCAUGGCGGCGCCAUGAAACCGACACAGGAUGGGGACGCGUCGGAUUAGCUUGACGGCGGGGCGACGGCCCACCGUGGCGACGAUCCGCAGGGGUUCUGAGAGGAAGGUCCCCCCACACUGGCACUGAGACACGGGCCAGACUCCUACGGGAGGCAGCAGUGAGGAAUAUUGGUCAAUGGCCGAGAGGCUGAACCAGCCAAGUAAGCGUGCAGGACGACGGCCCUACGGGUUGUAAACUGCUUUUGCGGGAGGAUAAAGGACACUACGUGUAGUGUUUUGCAGGUAUCCCGUGAAUAAGGACCGGCUAAUUCCGUGCCAGCCGCCGC